CUGGAACGUGAAAUCUGCCUCAAACGCGAGUCACCUUAAAGCCACAAAUUGGAGCUUCCACGUCAAAGGAAAAUCGAUUCUAAGCGAUUAAUUUUUAGUUAUAUGGAAACUUACCUAUUUACCCUUAAACUUCUUCUUCUCAACAUCACUCAGAUUCAAAGCCAUAUGGAUCUGUCUUUCCCCUUUGUAAGCUUGAGGUCAUCAAACAAGUAUUUAGAAAUGGAAAAAUGGCGUGUUGGGUAUAUUUAUUUCUCUUCUUCUUAUGUUACCCCCACUGAUUUUCUACUGGUUUCUUUGUUGUGGUGCGGCCGCUACAGUACUUUGUUCUAGGUUGAAGAAGAAAAGCAAGCAAUUGGGCUUAACUUUGACCCGGUAGUGGCCCAUUUUGCUCUUAGUUUUUUUAUUUUAUUUUUACACUGGUGUGCAAAGAAAUGGUUUGGUUUUUUUAAUUAAAAAAUCAUAACUAUAAUACAAUAUGCAUUUUAAUAA
rnacentral:lncRNA from 1 species